rnacentral:lncRNA from 1 species
AACGACAUCCAAACAGCCUAAUUCGUACUUAAAGUCCAACAAUAUGAGAUAAACCAACUUCAAGGAUCAGAUUUCCAAAACACCCUCUCAUAUCUGGCGUGUGUCAAAGUUUCCAAGAAUCUAAAAGGGACUCCGGGCAUUGAUUACACCCCAAAAAAUAUUUCAGAAUCAAGAACAUAGUACAGUGUAAAAAAGCCAGCUCUCAGAUGUCCACGUUCAGAGGGAAUUCAAGGUCCCAAAGCAAGGCUUAAAAGAGAGGGGCAGAACUUAAGGUUCUAGGAAUAGGUGUGAGUGCACAAAGGGGAAGGGAAUCAGGGAGAGACGGGGCAAGCUAGUGGUCAUUCCCAGCAAUUGGGAUGCUGGCACACCCCUGACCAGCCUGCUAGUAAAGCAUUGAGAGUUAGGGUCUAUUGUGGAUCAGGUCAUGGUCUGGGCAGUAAUUCGGAUACUAUCGGGCCAAGACCUUAACUCAAACAUAUAGAAAGGAAUAGGGAUGGCGAUUCACAACAGAAACAGAUACGAGGAAAUUAGCAUAGAUCAUUGAACAUGAGCAGUAAAGCAAAUAAGAGUGCCAGAACUGUAAAGUAAACACUUAGAGAUGAGGCAGAAUGUUUAAACAAAAGACAUACCAGUUUCAAAGAAAAUAAGUAAACAGUAGUAGCCUUGAAAGAGCCAAGUUGUAGUUCUAAAAGAUCUCAAGGAAAAAAGUGUUGAAAACAGUAUUGAAAGUAUGUGAUUAGAAGAGUUUUUGUUCGUGUCUUUUUUCUAGUGUUUGUAAAGAGGGAAGACAGGUCCUUAUAUAGCUUUUGAAAAAAAGCAGUACAUAGGCAAUGAGUGCACAAACACGGAAAUAGCAAUCAAUUAGUGUCAAUUAAGACAACUGGAAUACAUUAAUUAAGGAGUCUAGUUUUAACGGUUAGUUAAGGCAGAACAAGGAAAAAAAUCAGUUCAAUGAGGCUGAUUACGACAAGAAACCACAUAGUGCAUAAAUAAGGUCAAAUACAUAGUGGGUAAUUAAGGAAAGUAGUGUAUUUACAAAGUAAAAUAGUGCAUCAGUUUAAAAAUCAACCAAGAGGAUCCCGGAUCCAAUCAUAAUCACGAUGAAUCCCAAGUAAUUAAGGAAAGAGUCAUAUAGGUAUAGAAAUAAUUCAAACAUUGGUACAGAAUCACAGAAGGUCAUGUAUUUAAGGAAAACAUCAAAAACAUAGGAUUUUUACACAAAAGGAUCAAAAUAAGGAGGUUCAAUUGAAAGAAAUUAGUGGGGAAUCAUUAGCCUGAUUAAAGGGAUUUCAAAAAAAUCGAUCCUUUGGUUAGUGAAACCUUGUGAAAGAGGAGAUUUUCUCACAUAUAAAGCACACAGGUCAAACAAAAGAGUUGUUUACUAUAUAAAAAGAGUUUAACACUGAAAGUCUCAUAGUCGCAAGGGAACAGGAUUUCAGCUUCAACUACAGACUCUUAGUGAGUCUGAAAGCCUAGGGUUCUAAAGUGGAACCCUAGUACUACUUGUCAAAGAAACCCCCAAAACCUAGGGUUUCAAAUAGAGUCAUAGGUGAGAAGACAAAGACAUUGAGAGAGGCUUAGAAAGACAGAUAAACAUACAUAAUAGCAAGAAUACUGGCUCAAGGUCAUGCUUGAGAAAACUUGGAAUUUAAGCAAGUUUGAGAAGAAAGAGAUAAUUCGAACUUAAACAAAAUAGGUAAAACAUGCUUAGCAAGAACAUAAACAAAACUCAGUAAGGUGAACAACAUCAGAGAGCUUCAAACAUAAACACACACAUAUAGCAAAGCAUGCGAAUUAAUAAAAAAAUAGAAGGUUCUUGCAUAAUAGAUAAGAGAUAAAAGAGCACAAGACACAUAUAAAGAAGGAGAAUCAGCAAAGAAUUUGAAGAAAUCCUUUUUCAAAAGCCAUAAAAAUCGAAUUCGAAUGGUUUUAAAAAGAAAAUUUAGGGAAGAAACCUGUAAAUCUUCAAGUAAAGACUAAAUAUGUCACAGAUUCUGAAAGAAAUAGAUAAGUGAAAAACCAUAGAAAUGACAGAGAAGACCCUAUCAUGAGAAGGUCUUGAAGAAAACUGGAUCAUGAGUCAAAGAGACUCAUAUUGCUCUUAACACGCCGGAAAAUGGCCGCAGAGGCCAUAGAUCUUGCAGAUCUGAGACAGAUCUAAAGAAAAACAUUAGAUUCAGGUUUUAAAUCAUUGAAAAGCUUGAGUUUGAUGGUGAGAUAGGGCGAUCAUAAGUUAUUCAUGGCCUGGAACGCCAUAGAUUCCAGUGGAAUCAUGAUAGAAUGAAGUAGGAGACUGCUAGGGUUUCGGAGAGCUUGGGAGUGUUUUGAGAGGUGAAUGGUUUCAAG